rnacentral:rRNA from 1 species
GACGAACGCUGGCGGCGCGCUUAACACAUGCAAGUCGAGCGAUAACCAUGGCUUCGGCCAUGGGGAGAGCGGCGAACGGGUGAGUAACACGAGAGUGAUCUGCCCUCGACACCGGGAUAGCCCGGGGAAACCCGGAUUAAUACCGGAAGGCCUUUCGAGCCCACGGGCUCGUCAGAAAAGAUGGCUUCGGCUUUCGGUCGAGGAGGAGCUUGCGGCGGAUUAGCUUGUUGGUGGGGUAACGGCUCACCAAGGCGACGAUCCGUAGCUGGUCUGAGAGGACGAUCAGCCACACUGGGACUGAGACACGGCCCAGACUCCUACGGGAGGCAGCAGUGGGGAAUCUUGCGCAAUGGGCGAAAGCCUGACGCAGCGACGCCGCGUGAGGGAAGAAGGCCUUCGGGUUGUAAACCUCUUUCAGGAGGGACGAAGCCACUCGGGUUAAUAGCCCAGAGGGUGACGGUACCUCCAGAAGAAGCCCCGGCUAACUACGUGCCAGCCGCCGCCGUAAAAC